rnacentral:tRNA from 1 species
AGUCGCCUAGCUCAAGAUUAGAGCACACCUUACGACCAAUACUGACCAACACGCACCGCGGUGCAAUAAUGGCGGUGGCGUGAUGUGCGGUUACCGGUUCAAGUCCGGUGGUGACUUCCC